AAAGAAAGAACAAAAACCCUAAAGUGAAAAUUCAAGAGAAAUUUGGUGGAUUUCAAGUAAUCAAGCAAUCAAAGGUAAAAUUUCUUGAUUUUGACUUGUGAUCUACCUUUCCCAUACAUUCUUUUGCAUUUUUCAUGGUUGAAUCACAUGAUUUCAUGAUGGGUCUCUUGCUGGCCGAACACUUACAGAGAGAUUUUGAUGAUUGUUUUGGUUAGAUUUUAAGAUAUUCUAGUGUUUUUAGUUGAUUGGUGUGUGUAGCAUGAAAAGCCAACAAGAAAAAUUCAUUUUCUCCCAUCACCCAUCAUUGGCCGAAUUCUCCAUGUGGAAUAUUGAUGAUGAUUUUGAUUUUAUUUCAAGUGAUUUGGUUAGAAAUUAGUGAUUUACGGUGAGAAAAUCAAGUAGGAAAAAUCAUAGUAUUGAUGCACCCACCAUGGCCGAAAUUCCCAAGAGAAAAUGUGAAGAUGAUUUUGCUAAAUUUUAUGCUAUUUGACUUGUGUUUGAUGGUUUGGAGAAUUGGAAGAAAAAUGGAGUUAAUUGGAGUUGAAUUGGACAUAUUGGUCAAUUAAUCGAGUAAUAGAUUGAAUUAGGCCAAUACUGUUUUAUUUAGGUACACAAUUGAAUUUGUGUAGAACAUCGUAUUUAGAUGGUUACCCGAGCGUUUCACAUCCCAUUUCAUGCAUUAGUAAAGAGCCUAAAAUAAAUUUAUAAUGGUAUGACACAGUAUAUUGAAUUACGUGUCGUGUAUUUUAUAUAGGUGGUGAGCCCUCUAACAAGGGUAAAGACGUGUCAGAGGACUGAGAAUAGGAGUAUUUCAAACUCCUGAUACAAUGAGUAACCUUAUCAUCAUCUUGAUUAUCUGAAGUGAAUUUUAAUUCGUUUUUGUGAUUUUAUGAAAAAUGAGUUUAAAUGGUAAAUCUUUAUGUUUUAUAAGCAAAAUGUGAUUAAAUGAAAUGAUUUUAUAAAAUU
rnacentral:lncRNA from 1 species